GAUGAACGCUGGCGGCGUGCCUAAUACAUGCAAGUAGAACGCUGAAGGAGGAGCUUGCUCUUCUGGAUGAGUUGCGAACGGGUGAGUAACGCGUAGGUAACCUGCCUGGUAGCGGGGGAUAACUAUUGGAAACGAUAGCUAAUACCGCAUGACAACAGUUAUUGCAUGAUAACUGUUUAAAAGGGGCAACUGCUCCACUACCAGAUGGCCCUGCGUUGUAUUAGCUAGUUGGUGAGGUAACGGCUCACCAAGGCGACGAUACAUAGCCGACCUGAGAGGGGGAUCGGCCAGACUGAGACUGAGACACGGCCCAGACUCCUACGGGAGGCCGCAGUAGGGAAUCGUCGGCAAUGGACGGAAGGCUGACCGAGCAAGGCCGCGUGAGUGAAGAAGGGUUGCGGAUCGGAAAGCUCUGUUGUAAGAGAAGAACGGGUGUGAGAGUGGAAAGUUCACAAUGUGACGGUAUCUUACCAGAAAGGGACGGCUAACUACGUG
rnacentral:rRNA from 1 species